GAGUUUGAUCAUGGCUCAGGAUGAACGCUGGCGGCGUGCUUAACACAUGCAAGUCGAACGAACCUUCGGGUUAGUGGCGGACGGGUGAGUAACGCGUGGGAAUCUGCCCUCAGGAGGGGGAUAACAGUUGGAAACGACCGCUAAUACCCCAUAUGCCGAGAGGUGAAAUGAAUUUCGCCUGAGGAUGAGCCCGCGUCUGAUUAGCUUGUUGGUGAGGUAAUGGCUCACCAAGGCUUCGAUCAGUAGCUGGUCUGAGAGGAUGAUCAGCCACACUGGGACUGAGACACGGCCCAGACUCCUACGGGAGGCAGCAGUGGGGAAUUUUCCGCAAUGGGCGAAAGCCUGACGGAGCAACGCCGCGUGAGGGACGAAGGCCUCUGGGCUGUAAACCUCUUUUCUCAAGGAAGAAGAUAUGACGGUACUUGAGGAAUAAGCCACGGCUAAUUCCGUGCCAGCAGCCGCGGUAAUACGGGAGUGGCAAGCGUUAUCCGGAAUUAUUGGGCGUAAAGCGUCCGCAGGCGGCCUUUCAAGUCUGCUGUUAAAACGUGGAGCUUAACUCCAUCAUGGCAGUGGAAACUGAUUGGCUUGAGUAUGGUAGGGGCAGAGGGAAUUCCCGGUGUAGCGGUGAAAUGCGUAGAUAUCGGGAAGAACACCAGUGGCGAAGGCGCUCUGCUGGGCCAUUACUGACGCUCAUGGACGAAAGCCAGGGGAGCGAAAGGGAUUAGAUACCCCUGUAGUCCUGGCCGUAAACGAUGAACACUAGGUGUCGGGGGAAUCGACCCCUUCGGUGUCGUAGCUAACACGUUAAGUGUUCCGCCUGGGGAGUACGCACGCAAGUGUGAAACUCAAAGGAAUUGACGGGGGCCCGCACAAGCGGUGGAGUAUGUGGUUUAAUUCGAUGCAACGCGAAGAACCUUACCAGGGCUUGACAUCCUGCGAACCUUUAAGAAAUUAGAGGGUGCCUUCGGGAACGCAGUGACAGGUGGUGCAUGGCUGUCGUCAGCUCGUGUCGUGAGAUGUUGGGUUAAGUCCCGCAACGAGCGCAACCCACGUUUUUAGUUGCCAGCAUUUAGUUGGGCACUCUAGAAAGACCGCCGGUGAUAAACCGGAGGAAGGUGUGGAUGACGUCAAGUCAUCAUGCCCCUUACGUCCUGGGCUACACACGUACUACAAUGCUACGGACAAAGGGCAGCAAACUCGCGAGAGCUAGCAAAUCCCAUAAACCGUGGCUCAGUUCAGAUCGUAGGCUGCAACUCGCCUACGUGAAGUAGGAAUCGCUAGUAAUCGCAGGUCAGCAUACUGCGGUGAAUACGUUCCCGGGCCUUGUACACACCGCCCGUCACACCAUGGAAGUUGGCCACGCCCGAAGUCGUUACUUUAACCCUUGUGGAGAAGGACGCCGAAGGUGGGGCUGAUGACUGGGGUGAAGUCGUAACAAGGUAACC
rnacentral:rRNA from 1 species